CGGCGCGCUCGAUCAGGCCUGGGAGGUAUUCGUGAACAAGUACCAGAGAGAUUCCUUCUCCUGGAACUUGAUCAUCGCGGCCUACGCAGAGAAUGGAAGAUUAGAGAGAGCGAGGGAAGUUUUCGACAAGAUGGACGAGCCAGAUGUGGUUACCUGGACGACGAUGCUCCGCGCCUACGCCCAAGCCGGGCAGAUCGCCGAGGCGCGGCGGCUCUUCGAUCGCAUCUCCUCGCCCGACACCGUCGCCUACAACACGAUCAUCGCGGCCUACGUCCACGCCAGGGAGCUGGAUCAGGCCCGGCAGCUCUUCGAUCGGAUGGAGAAGAAGAGCAUCUGUACCUGGAAUUCGAUGAUCGCGGCCUAUUCCCAGCUCGGG
rnacentral:lncRNA from 1 species